GCGGAUAUAGAAGAAUUGGUAAAUUCGGUAGUUUUCCAAACUACAACUUAUGGGUUCAAAUCCCAUUAUCCGUUA
rnacentral:tRNA from 1 species